UUUCAUUAUCAUUUUCUGGUACUGUGUGGAUGAGCUCUCAGUGAUUAUCUAUAGAAGGGUCAAACUAUUAUUUAUAAUCAUGAAUUAUGAAGCUUGGAUCUUUUAUAUAUGCAUUUCUUUCCCUUUUUCCCUCCCAAGUCAGUUCUUUAGUUGCUGCUAUGUGGAAUAUAUUUUUCGAUGGAUUAAUAAAUUAUGAUAUCUUAGCCGACCCCAAAUUUUUGGG
rnacentral:misc_RNA from 1 species